CAGGACAGGUACAGCACAGGCAGCUAGGGUACGGGCUUUCCCCACACCACGCGUCCACGUGCCUCAGCCCUGACCUGGAGGGACCACCUCUCGA
rnacentral:sRNA from 1 species